UCUCGGCAUGGCCCUGCUCCUCAGCUGCCUCACAGCCACGGACUCGGUUCUACCUGCUCACUGUGUCCUCCAGCUCCGGAAGGACAAAGGAACGCCGCUCACCUCCCCAUGUUUCCAGCACUUGGAUCCUUCUGGCCUCGUGAAACCAUGACAACGACUUCAACAUGGACGGAGAUUCAGUUUCUGGACAGAAGAGGCAUUGCUGCUUCUGCAGGAACUCUGCAGCUGAUCUUCAGGUUCCAGAGACGACCACCUCCACACCUGAAGUCCAAUCAGACAGGAAGUGUCGACAACAGGAAGAGAGGAGCAGUGAAGACAUGGGAUUCAGAGGAGACCCCCCCCCCCACACACACACACACUACUGCUGUCACUGUUGUCUAAAUAAACUGUUAAUAAUUUA